rnacentral:rRNA from 1 species
AGAGUUUGAUCCUGGCUCAGGAUGAACGCUGGCGGCGUGCCUAAUACAUGCAAGUCGAGCGAACGGACGAGAAGCUUGCUUCUCUGAUGUUAGCGGCGGACGGGUGAGUAACACGUGGAUAACCUACCUAUAAGACUGGGAUAACUGCGGGAAACCGGAGCGAAUACCGGAUAAUAUUUUGAACCGCAUGGUUCAAAAGUGAAAGACGGUCUUGCUGUCACUUAUAGAUGGAUCCGCGCUGCAUUAGCUAGUUGGUAAGGUAACGGCUUACCAAGGCAACGAUGCAUAGCCGACCUGAGAGGGUGAUCGGCCACACUGGAACUGAGACACGGUCCAGACUCCUACGGGAGGCAGCAGUAGGGAAUCUUCCGCAAUGGGCGAAAGCCUGACGGAGCAACGCCGCGUGAGUGAUGAAGGUCUUCGGAUCGUAAAACUCUGUUAUUAGGGAAGAACAUAUGUGUAAGUAACUGUGCACAUCUUGACGGUACCUAAUCAGAAAGCCACGGCUAACUACGUGCCAGCAGCCGCGGUAAUACGUAGGUGGCAAGCGUUAUCCGGAAUUAUUGGGCGUAAAGCGCGCGUAGGCGGUUUUUUAAGUCUGAUGUGAAAGCCCACGGCUCAACCGUGGAGGGUCAUUGGAAACUGGAAAACUUGAGUGCAGAAGAGGAAAGUGGAAUUCCAUGUGUAGCGGUGAAAUGCGCAGAGAUAUGGAGGAACACCAGUGGCGAAGGCGACUUUCUGGUCUGUAACUGACGCUGAUGUGCGAAAGCGUGGGGAUCAAACAGGAUUAGAUACCCUGGUAGUCCACGCCGUAAACGAUGAGUGCUAAGUGUUAGGGGGUUUCCGCCCCUUAGUGCUGCAGCUAACGCAUUAAGCACUCCGCCUGGGGAGUACGACCGCAAGGUUGAAACUCAAAGGAAUUGACGGGGACCCGCACAAGCGGUGGAGCAUGUGGUUUAAUUCGAAGCAACGCGAAGAACCUUACCAAAUCUUGACAUCCUUUGACAACUCUAGAGAUAGAGCCUUCCUCUUCGGGGGACAAAGUGACAGGUGGUGCAUGGUUGUCGUCAGCUCGUGUCGUGAGAUGUUGGGUUAAGUCCCGCAACGAGCGCAACCCUUAAGCUUAGUUGCCAUCAUUAAGUUGGGCACUCUAAGUUGACUGCCGGUGACAAACCGGAGGAAGGUGGGGAUGACGUCAAAUCAUCAUGCCCCUUAUGAUUUGGGCUACACACGUGCUACAAUGGACAAUACAAAGGGCAGCGAAACCGCGAGGUCAAGCAAAUCCCAUAAAGUUGUUCUCAGUUCGGAUUGUAGUCUGCAACUCGACUACAUGAAGCUGGAAUCGCUAGUAAUCGUAGAUCAGCAUGCUACGGUGAAUACGUUCCCGGGUCUUGUACACACCGCCCGUCACACCACGAGAGUUUGUAACACCCGAAGCCGGUGGAGUAACCUUUUAGGAGCUAGCCGUCGAAGGUGGGACAAAUGAUUGGGGUGAAGUCGUAACAAGGUAGCCGUAUCGGAAGGUGCGGCUGGAUCACCU